CGCGAAUGGCUCAUUACAACAGCUAAAAUUUACUCGAUCUUGACACAAUCCUACUUGGAUAACUGUGGUAAUUCUAGAGCUAAUACAUGCAUUAAAGCUCUGACCUUCGGGGAAGAGUGCAUUUAUUAGAACAAAACCAAGCGGCUUCGGCUGUUUUCGGUUGACUCAUAGUAACUGAGCUGAUCGCAUGGUCUUGCACCGGCGACGUGUCGUUCAAGUAUCUGCCGUAUCAACUUUCGAUGGUAGUGUAUCUGACUACCAUGGUGAUCACGCGUAACGGAGAAUAAGGGUUCGACUCCGGAGAGUUCGCCUGAGAAAUCGCGAACACAUCUAAGGAAGGCAGCAGGCGCGAAAAUUACCCACUCUCAGCACGAGGAGGUAGUGACGAAAAAUAACGAGACCGUUCUCUUAUGAGGCCGGUCAUCGGAAUGGGUACAAAUUAAACCCUUUAACGAGUAUCUAUGAGAGGGCAAGUCUGGUGCCAGCAGCCGCGGUAAUUCCAGCU
rnacentral:rRNA from 1 species